CUGAUGGGCGCGCUCGGGUCAAUUGCGGUCUGCAACACCCAAUCUCCCUGCCGGUCCCGUCCGGAAUGGAUGGGCUGGUUGAGGGGGAACGCGUCUCCGUCAG
rnacentral:ncRNA from 1 species